rnacentral:rRNA from 1 species
UACGGGGGGGGCAAGCGUUGUUCGGAAUUACUGGGCGUAAAGGGCUCGUAGGCGGCCAACUAAGUCAUACGUGAAAUCCCUCGGCUUAACCGGGGAACUGCGUCUGAUACUGGAUGGCUUGAGUUCGGGAGAGGGAUGCGGAAUUCCAGGUGUAGCAGUGAAAUGCGUAGAUAUCUGGAGGAACACCGGUGGCGAAGGCGGCAUCCUGGACCGAUACUGACGCUGAGGAGCGAAAGCCAGGGGAGCAAACGGG